CCGUAGGUGAACCUGCGGAGGGAUCAUUACACAAAUAUGAAGGCGGGCUGGAACCUCUCGGGGUUACAGCCUUGCUGAAUUAUUCACCCUUGUCUUUUGCGUACUUCUUGUUUCCUUGGUGGGUUCGCCCACCACUAGGACAAACAUAAACCUUUUGUAAUUGCAAUCAGCGUCAGUAACAAAUUAAUAAUUACAACUUUCAACAACGGAUCUCUUGGUUCUGGCAUCGAUGAAGAACGCAGCGAAAUGCGAUAAGUAGUGUGAAUUGCAGAAUUCAGUGAAUCAUCGAAUCUUUGAACGCACAUUGCGCCCUUUGGUAUUCCAAAGGGCAUGCCUGUUCGAGCGUCAUUUGUACCCUCAAGCUUUGCUUGGUGUUGGGCGUCUUGUCUCUAGCUUUGCUGGAGACUCGCCUUAAAGUAAUUGGCAGCCGGCCUACUGGUUUCGGAGCGCAGCACAAGUCGCACUMUCUAUCAGCAAAGGUCUAGCAUCCAUUAAGCCUUUUUUUCAACUUUUGACCUCGGAUCAGGUAGGGAUACCCGCUGAACUUAAGCAUAUCAAUAAGCGGAGGA
rnacentral:rRNA from 1 species